rnacentral:lncRNA from 1 species
UGAGGUCAGCAUUCCGCCACGCCAAAAAGGCAAUCUCAUUCUAUCUAUCCCCAUCUCCCCCUCCAAACCCCCCCGCUAAGCUUCCACUCCAAACACUACCCAAGCAACCAUUUUUUUACAGGUACUUUACCUUCCUCACUCUUAAUGGCUUCCCUCUUCCUCCCCAAGCAUUCUCUUCCCUCUCUCCUCUCCACUCAAAUUCCCAAAACCCCAUCUCUCCACUCCCUUCCACUUGUCUCCAAAUCAUCACAUUCUCAAUUUUAUGGUCUCACCUUCUCUUCUUCGCCCUCUCUUCCACUUCCUUCUUCUUCCUCUCCAAAGAAGGCUUCCAUUUUUGCUAAGGUACAUUGCUUAAACUUGAAGAUCUUUAGGUUUUAUAACUAGCUAACAUUUUAUGUGGGUGUGGUGAUGUAUAGUUGGUUGUGUUUUUUCUUUGGUGUUUUCUCUUAAUUUCAGGUUUCCAAAGGCCAAGUGCCCCCACCCUUCACUUUGAAAGACCAGGAUGGGAAGACCGUGAGCCUCUCCAAGUUCAAAGGGAAGCCUGUGGUGGUCUAUUUCUACCCUGCUGAUGAAACUCCAGGAUGCACCAAACAGGUAUCACAUACUUUAUUGUCAAAACAAGUGGGGAGGACAAGCCAAUGAGGAUUUCCUUUUUUAAGGAAAAAGAAAUUAAACUUCAGUUCAAACAUUCUCUGAAAAAACAGCAUGGCAAUUAUGCAAAUAUAAUGACUAAAAUGUCCCACCUGCCAUAGUUGGUCCAACAAUUGGGACUAAUUCAUGGGAAGAGUGUUUGACCUUCUUCUGGAGUGCAUUGACAUCAAGAAGUUAGGGCAGGUACUCAACUGUAGACCUAGACUGGAUUUAAUUGGUGAAAGUCAUGGCCGUUUUGGGAAGACAAUUUUACAGGAUGGGAAAAAGAAAUUUAGAUUUAAGAAGAGAUUUUUAGUACAAAUUUACUAUCACAAUUGUGUUUAUGUGUUAAACAGAGUGUGAAUUAGUUCAAAUCCAUUGCUACUUCAGCCAAUGGAUGCUUGAUAUGAUGGACUAUCCCUUCCAUAAGAAUUUAUCCUUGUAGGGUGGAUAGUAACUAGGUUUCAAGUUUGGGGAUGGGUCACCUAAAUGAAGGUGCUCGAAUAAAAGUUUUGACCCUAUCCUCGUUGGACACUAAUUGGUUUUUACAUGAAAUGGUUAAAACCCAAUCCAAGAAUUGGUAUUAGAACCGUCAUGGGUUUCAGGGAAUGGAAAACUAACAAUUGAUGUGGCCUUGGCAGGCAUGUGCUUUCAGGGACUCUUAUGAGAAAUUCAAGAAAGCAGGAGCCCAGGUUGUGGGCAUUAGUGGUGAUGACCCAUCAUCACACAAGGUAAUACAAAAAUAAUUGGUCUUGAAUCGAUGUUUCCUCGUUCUCUCAAGGGAAAAAUUCCCAUAGUUUUCAGUAGUUUCGGAGUUAACUGGUAGCUGUGGCCAAAAAUGCUUGUAGUUAACUAGUGUUUGUAAAUGAAUUAAUGUAGGCAUUUGCAAAGAAAUACAGACUUCCAUUCACAUUGCUGAGCGAUGACGGAAACAAGGUGAGGAAAGAUUGGGGAGUGCCGGCAGAUCUGUUUGGAACAUUGCCCGGGAGACAAACUUAUGUUCUUGACAAGAAGGGAGUGGUUCAGCUCAUCUACAAUAAUCAGUUCCAACCCGAAAAGCAUAUCGAUGAGACCUUGAAACUACUUCAAACCCUUUGAGCCUUUCUUAUUGUAGCUUCUCUCCUUCCUUCAUUUCUGAUAAUUUUUUCAUUUUUAUCCCUCCCCACCAUGAGAUUUGUCCUCUUGAAGUUAAUUUAUAUAUAACUCUCUAUUGAACUUGUAC